GAGGGUAUAGCUCAGUGGUAGAGUGCAUGCUUAGCAUGCACAAGGUCCUGGGUUCAAUCCCCACUGCCUCCA
rnacentral:tRNA from 1 species